UGAGUUUGGCUUGUUGUUGUGAAAAGUGUUUGUUUUGGCGAGUUUGAACGUUUUUGAGCAUGUGUAAUGGCAUGAAUGCGUUAAGCUGUUGUUUUAGUGUUCUUAUGAUGACUUUGGCUUGUUGUUAUGAACAUUGUUCGUUUUGGCGAGUUUGAAGGUUUUUGAGCAUGUGUAAUGGCAUGAAUGCGUUAAGCUGUUGUUUUAGUGUUCUUUUGAUGAGUUUGGCUUGUUGUUAUGAAAAGUGUUUGUUUUGGCGAGUUUGAACGUUUUUGUGCAUGUGUAAUGGCAUGAAUGUGUUAAGCUGUUGUUUUAGUGUUCUUUUGAUGAGUUUGGCUUGUUGUUAUGAAAAGUGUUCGUUUUGGCCAGUUUGAAGGUUUUUUAGCAUGUGUAAUGGCAUGAAUGCGUUAAGCUGUUGUUUUAGUGUUCUUUUGAUGAGUUUGGCUUGUUGUUAUGAACAUUGUUCGUUUUGGCCAGUUUGAAGGUUUUUUAGCAUGUGUAAUGGCAUGAAUGUGUUGAAUUAGUAAUCCCUUGUGUUAAGCUGUUGUUUUAGUGUUCUUUUGAUGAGUUUGGCUUGUUGUUAUGAAAAGUGUUUGUUUUGGCGAGUUUGAACGUUUUUGAGCAUGUGUAAUGGCAUGAAUGCGUUAAGUUCCACCCUACCUUCAAGUUACCGCCCCAUUUCACUUCUCAACGUUGACAUUAAAAUUAUCACCAAGGCACUUUCCCACCGAUUAGAAAAAAUUAUUCCAUCCAUUAUUCACCCGGAUCAAACAGGAUUUAUUAAAGGAAGAAACUCAUCCAAUAACACACGCAGACUAUUCAAUAUAAUGCACCACUCAACCACACAUAACCAUAACUCAAUCAUAGCCACCUUAGAUGCAGAAAAAGCCUUUGACAGAGUUAACUGGUCAUUCCUCAUCCACACCCUACACAGUUUCGGCUUUGGGGAAUCAUUUAUUAACUGGAUUAAAACACUUUACACCUCACCUACAGCCACAGUUAUUACUAACGGACAAACCUCAUGCAAAGCUUCACUCUUCACAGGGGGACCAGGCAAGGUUGCCCACUCUCUCCCUCUUUUUUCACCAUUUUCAUUGAACCCCUAGCAGCAGCCAUCCGUCAGAACCCCCUCAUUACAGGAAUCCAAACCCCCAACAUGCACCAUAAAAUCAGCCUCUAUGCAGAUGACAUUUUACUUUUUAUGGAUUAACCCAAAAUCAUCACUACAAGAAGUAAUCAGUGUCAUCAAAUCCUUCUCCUUCUCUCUGACUACUCAAUAAACUGGAACAAAUCCUCCAUACUCCCAUUAAACACCAACAGUCUGGCUGUGGCAGCCCUUACAACACCCAUCCCCUUCUGCACAAGUCACAUCACCUACUUAGGCAUCCACAUUUCCCCCAGGCUGUCAGAGUUGAUCAACCUGAAUUUCACUCCACUCCUAAAAAAAAUCAAUGAUGAUCUCCAACGAUGGAUGAACCUCCCAUUAUCUAUAUUAGGCAGAAUAGCAACAGUUAAAAUGACAAUCCUCCCCAAAAUCAGUUACCUUUGUUCAAUGAUUCCCACUCAUCCACCUCUCACCUGGUUUCAUUCCCUCGAUUCAUCCAUCAACAAAUUUUACUGGAAAAAUAAACCCCCACGAGUCAAACUGGCCACUCUUCAGAAAUCAAAAAGUUUAGGCGGACUCAAUGCUCCAAAUUUUCAUCAUUACUCACUAGCAAAUCAACUUCAAUACAUCUACAAAUGGACCCACCCCACCCAGUCAGAAAGCACGUGGUUAGACAUAGAACAAACAGUUAGCAAAGACAUCCAUCUCUCAGACCUACCAUUCCUCAGUCAAACUAUCAAAAAACACCCCUGUUUCCAAAACCCCACAAUAUCAUCGGCCCUGACAGCCUGGUGGAAAUUCUACAGCAUUACUAACUCCACUCUGGCACCAUCGCUUUUCACCCCGAUCUGGCACAACCUGGACUUCAUCAGCAAUAAACAAUCACUAUACUUCAGCACCUGGGUAGAGAAAGGGAUUACUCACCUCAAACAUAUCUUCAAUAAUAACACCCUGGUCCCAUUCUCUCUCCUGGUCCAGAAGUUUGGCAUCAGGAGCCAUCAAUUCCUACAAUAUCUACAGAAGUUUCAUCAUCCAUCCAAUCAUCAAUGAAAAACAAGAAUAUAAACUUAGACCCC